rnacentral:rRNA from 1 species
AGAGUUUGAUCAUGGCUCAGAGCGAACGCUGGCGGCAGGCUUAACACAUGCAAGUCGAGCGCUCGUAGCAAUACGGGAGCGGCAGACGGGAGAGUAGCACGUAGGAACGUACCCUUUGGUUCGGAAUAACCCAGGGAAACUUGGACUAAUACCGGAUAAGUCCGCAAGGAGAAAGAUUUAUCGCCGAAGGAUCGGCCUGC